CUAAUACCGAAUGUGACUGCCGGAGGGAAUCCUCUGGUUUUCAAAGUUGGGGACCGCAAGGCCUGACGCUUUACGAUAAGCCCGCAACCUAUCAGCUAGUUGGUGAGGUAACGGCUCACCAAGGCUAAGACGGGUAGCUGGUCUGAGAGGACGACCAGCCACACUGGAACUGAGACACGGUCCAGACACCUACGGGUGGCAGCAGUCGAGAAUUUUUCUCAAUGGGCGAAAGCCUGAAGGAGCGACGCCGCGUGGGGGAUGAAGGGCUUCGGCCCGUAAACCCCUGUCAUUUGUGAACAAAGCUUUUGGCCUAACACGCUAAAAGUUGAUAGUAGCGAAAGAGGAAGGGACGGSUAACUCUGUGCCAGCAGCCCGCGGUAAUACAGAGGUCCCAAGCGUUG
rnacentral:rRNA from 1 species